GGGGCAGAGCAAACAUGAUGUACCAGCCCCCCCCUUCUCUCAGGGGCCGCCUAACACUGCAGCGCCCGGUGACCAGGCUGAGGAUGGUGCCAGGCGCCUCGCUGGCCCCAGCCCCCUAGCACGGGACAGCAUCGAGAGGGACCCCCAGCAGCCACCUGCCCGGGGGCGGGGCAGCCUGGAUCCUGGCCUGUGUAAGUGGGGACAUUCCUCUGCUCUCACCCUACGCGGCGCCGGCCCCUCUUGGCCAGACCGCCGGGAAGAAACCGCUCCCUGACUCACGGAAGGGAAGAGGCUCGGCGGGAGUAGUGGAUUAAGCUGGUUCCCCUUCAUUCCGUGACAGUCAUAGAGGGUCACAGGGCUGCUGUGGGAAAUGGCAUCGAAACAGAACUUCUUUGUGUGCUGAGGGUCCCCAGGACGGAUAUCUUCCCGCCAGCUGAAGGGCGUAGCACUGCUCAGCUGGACGGCACUUCUCUGGGGAUGGCAAGUCAAGAACUCUUUUAGAAACAAGCCACUUCCACUGUCUGGUGGCUCCUCAGUUUGAUUCACUGAAGAUAUCUCAGGAUGCAUCAUUUCAUGGCAACACAGAUAACAGGAGUCUCACUGGUCGCAAUGACACCACUUUUGCUCAACAAAUUCAUGCACCACGCAGACCUGUGUCUUGGUCUCAGGCAAUCAGCAAUGAUUAGCAGAACCUUCCCCAAGCCAGGACUGAAACCACCAACUGGUAAGUGUGGAGAGGUCUGCACAGCCACUGCCCAUACUGUGCCCAUUCUGUGAAAAGAAGCCUUCAUUCAUCAGAGUCUAUUGAUCCAACAUUUUUAAUGAGUUCUACAGUGAGAAAACAAAAUGAAGCCAGAGUUCUGCAGAUGUCAGCAAGGAGAAAACAUAUCAAUGUGGGAGGAUCUUUGCUUCAUUCAAUGCAGACGAUGGGCCCACUCUAGAGAUGAAUCAGGUUAGAUCCAGGAUCGGCGCGGGCUGAGGGACGUGCUGGCUGCCCUUCCCGCAGCCCCCAUUGGCCUGGAGCAGCAAACCGCGGCCAGUGGGAGCCGCGAUCGGCCGAACCUGUGGAUGCGGCAGGUAAACAAACUGGCCUGGCCCGCCAGGCUGCUUACCCUGGUGGGCCACGUGCCAAACGUUGCCGAUCCCUGGGUUAGAUAGCAAAUGAGGCAGUCUGCAGGACUAACUGCGUCCUUU